CCUACGGGGGGCUGCAGUGAGGAAUAUUGGUCAAUGGCCGAGAGGCUGAACCAGCCAAGUCGCGUGAGGGAAGACGGCCCUACGGGUUGUAAACCUCUUUUGUCGGGGAGCAAAGGGAGUCACGUGUGACCCGUUGAGAGUACCCGAAGAAAAAGCUUCGGCAAACUCCGUGCCAGCGGCCGCGUUAAUCCGGGGGAGGCGGGCGUUAUCCGAAUUUAUUGGGUUAAAGGGGUGCGCAGGGGGAGUUGAAAGUCAGCGGUAAAAUCGCGGGGCUCACCCCCGUACUGCAGUUGAAACUGGAUGACUUGAGUGCGCGAGAGGAAUGCGGAAUGCGUGGUGUAGCGGUGAAAUGCGUAGAUA
rnacentral:rRNA from 1 species